UACAGAGGUCUCAAGCGUUGUUCGGAUUCAUUGGGCGUAAAGGGUGCGUAGGCGGCGAGGCAAGUCUGGUGUGAAAUCCCGGGGCUCAACCCCGGAACUGCACUGGAUACUGCUUUGCUAGAGUACUGGAGAGGGAACUGGAAUUUACGGUGUAGCAGUGAAAUGCGUAGAUAUCGUAAGGAAGACCAGCGGCGAAGGCGACUACCUGGCCUGUUUCUUGACGCUGAGGCGCGAAAGCUAGGGGAGCAAACGGG
rnacentral:rRNA from 1 species